AUCCUACGGGACGCAGCAGUGAGGAAUAUUGGUCAAUGGCCGCAGGGCUGAACCAGCCAAGCCGCGUGAGGGAUGAAGGUACAGAGUAUCGUAAACCUCUUUUGUCAGGGAACAAAGGUGGGGACGUGUCCCCGGAUGAGUGUACCUGAAGAAAAAGCAUCGGCUAACUCCGUGCCAGCAGUCGCGGUAAUACGGAGGAUGCGAGCGUUAUCCGGAUUUAUUGGGUUUAAAGGGUGCGCAGGCGGUCUGUUAAGUCAGCGGUCAAAGCCCGGGGCUCAACCCCGGCCCGCCGUUGAAACUGGCAG
rnacentral:rRNA from 1 species